AUGGGUUGCACCUGGCUUCAGCCGUUUUUUCAGCUUCCAGUCUUUCCACAGACUGAUGUCCCUCAGAGUUGUGAUGGCUGGUUCUUAGAAGAUUAGAGAAAACUGUUAAACACACACAAAUGUGUUCGCUUUGUUUCACACAUCUGCUUUUUCAAAGUGGAACUUCUGUGGAGGAGUUUCCUAGAAUCAAAUAAAACAAGAGCACCACAACACAACCGGCAGGUGGAGAAGAUGUGGAGAGAGACAGUCAACAAAAGGAACCAUUACAAAUAUUUCUUGCUCAUUUCCACUGGUGCAGCCUACUUAGAUGUGCAACAGAAGCAGCUGCUCAAACUAUUUUAAGUUUCCUAAUACUUGCUAAAGAUGAAGUUACUUGCUUUAAGGUCAUGUUACUGUCCACUCUGGAACAUGGUGUCAGUCCAACUGCUGAUAA